ensembl:misc_RNA Metazoa_SRP Metazoan signal recognition particle RNA
GCCAGGUGGGGUGGUGGACGCCUGUAAUCCCAGCUACUUGGGAGGCUGAGGCAGGAGACUUGCUUGAACCCAGGAAGUGGAGGUUGCAGUGAGCUGAGAUCAUACCACUGCACUCCAGCCUGGGCAACAGAGCAAGAUCCUGUCUCAA